AGUGAACGCUGGCGGUAGGCCUAACACAUGCAAGUCGAACGGCAGCACAGUAAGAGCUUGCUCUUACGGGUGGCGAGUGGCGGACGGGUGAGGAAUACAUCGGAAUCUACUUUUUCGGGGGGGAUAACGUAGGGAAACUUACGCUAAUACCGCAUACGACCUACGGGUGAAAGCAGGGGAGCUUCGGACCUUGCGCGAUUGAAUGAGCCGAUGUCGGAUUAGCUAGUUGGCGGGGUAAAGGCCCACCAAGGCGACGAUCCGUAGCUGGUCUGAGAGGAUGAUCAGCCACACUGGAACUGAGACACGGUCCAGACUCCUACGGGAGGCAGCAGUGGGGAAUAUUGGACAAUGGGCGCAAGCCUGAUCCAGCCAUACCGCGUGGGUGAAGAAGGCCUUCGGGUCGUAAAGCCCUUUUGUUGGGAAAGAAAAGCAGCAGGUUAAUACCCCGCUGUUCUGACGGUACCCAAAGAAUAAGCACCGGCUAACUUCGUG
rnacentral:rRNA from 1 species